GAAAAGAUUAAGAUUCAGAAUCCUCAAUCCAGCUAUUUAGAUAAGUCCACUCUGAUAGAGCACUUCAAGUGUGAUAUAUGUUUAGUUGGUGACAAGAAUUACUACAGUGUGUAAAACUUUCAUGAAAUGAUAUACACCAAUAUUGAAAGAAAAAAGCAUAUUAAUUUUGCAGAGAAACAGCAAAGGACUAUGAAUCUUAGAUAUGGAUUUCUAACCAAGCCAAUGAACUCUUUCAUACAACUAGAAUUGUUCCAAACCUUUACAAAUGCAUUUGAACCUUUGUCAUCCAAACCUUUUCCUCCCCUUCAUUUUAUAUCAAAGCACCAAAAAGAAAUACUAAAUUAAUAUGUUAUUCUAUGCAAUGGCAUUAAAAAUUCAGUAAAGUUUGGCAUCAAAAAUUUAGCAAAGUUUAGAGAUCAUAAGAAAAUAGGCAUGAUGGAGAAUUUACCACGCGCCCUAAAGAACACAUC
rnacentral:misc_RNA from 1 species